rnacentral:rRNA from 1 species
UCCGUAGGGUGCGAGCGUUGUCCGGAAUUAUUGGGCGUAAAGGGCUCGUAGGCGGUUUGUCGCGUCGGGAGUGAAAACCAUGGGCUUAACUCAUGGCUUGCUUCCGAUACGGGCAGACUAGAGGCAUGCAGGGGAGAACGGAAUUCCUGGUGUAGCGGUGAAAUGCGCAGAUAUCAGGAGGAACACCGGUGGCGAAGGCGGUUCUCUGGGCAUGUCCUGACGCUGAGGAGCGAAAGUGUGGGGAGCGAACAGG